AGUGAACGCUGGCGGUAGGCCUAACACAUGCAAGUCGAACGGCAGCACAGUAAGAGCUUGCUCUUACGGGUGGCGAGUGGCGGACGGGUGAGGAAUACAUCGGAAUCUACUUUUUCGUGGGGGAUAACGUAGGGAAACUUACGCUAAUACCGCAUACGACCUACGGGUGAAAGCAGGGGAUCUUCGGACCUUGCGCGAUUGAAUGAGCCGAUGUCGGAUUAGCUAGUUGGCGGGGUAAAGGCCCACCAAGGCGACGAUCCGUAGCUGGUCUGAGAGGAUGAUCAGCCACACGGGAACUGAGACACGGUCCAGACUCCUACGGGAGGCAGCAGUGGGGAAUAUUGGACAAUGGGCGCAAGCCUGAUCCAGCCAUACCGCGUGUGUGAAGAAGGCCUUCGGUUUGUAAAGCCCUUUUGUUGGGAAAGAAAAGCAUCAGGUUAAUACCCCGCUGUUCUGACGGUACCCAAAGAAUAAGCACCGGCUAACUUCGUG
rnacentral:rRNA from 1 species